rnacentral:rRNA from 1 species
AACGAACGCUGGCGGCAUGCCUAACACAUGCAAGUCGAACGAGACCUUCGGGUCUAGUGGCGCACGGGUGCGUAACGCGUGGGAACCUGCCCUUAGGUUCGGAAUAACUCCCCGAAAGGGGUGCUAAUACCGGAUAAUGUCUUCGGACCAAAGAUUUAUCGCCUUUGGAUGGGCCCGCGUUGGAUUAGCUAGUUGGUAGGGUAAAAGCCUACCAAGGCGACGAUCCAUAGCUGGUCUGAGAGGAUGAUCAGCCACACUGGGACUGAGACACGGCCCAGACUACGACGGGAGGCAGCAGUGCGGAAUAGUGGAAGAUGGGCGAAAGCGUGAACAAGCAAGGCCGCGGGAGUGAUGAAGGCAUGAGGGGGGGAAAGAGCUGUGACCAGGGACGAGAAUGAAAGUAACGGGAGAAGAAGAGCCGGCUAACCCGGUG